rnacentral:snRNA from 1 species
AGCUUUGUGCAGUGGCAGUAUCAUAGCCAAUGAGGUUUAUCCAAGGGGCGAUUAUUGCUAAUUAAAAACUUUUCCCAAUACCCUGCCAUGACGACUUGCAAAAACAGAAUUGAAUAGAUAAACCAUUUUGUU